GCUGGGCAUGGUGGCGCAUGCCUGUAAUCCCAGCUACUCAGGAGGCUGAGGCAGGAGACUUGCUUGAACCCGGGAGGCAGAGGUUGCAGUGAGCCAAGAUCGUACCACUGCACUCCAGCCUGGGCAACAGAGCGAGACUCUGUCUCAA
rnacentral:SRP_RNA from 2 species